GCAUAAUUGUGCCUCAGCAGCUUCUGCCUUGGGGAUGCCUUUGAUUCAGCUCCCCAGAGGCCUUGUGGCAGCUGGGAAGUGGCGGGCCUGUGGCUGGAGGGAAAGGACAAGAGGUGUCUGCCCUGACUCUGCCUGCUAGGAGGACAAGAGAGGAGCAGUUUCUGCAAGCAGUGGUUUCCUGAACCCUAGUCCACAGAGAUGAAGUGUUCUCCAGCCCAUGCAGCCCAAGGUAAAGAAAGCCCUGGCUCCCUUCUCACUGCUUGAAGUCCAGAGGUUCACUUCUGCUUGGCCCCAGGAGCCCCUAGCUCAAAAGAGGCAAGUGUUUUGGGGCUGGGCUGGGUGGGGCCCAAGAGACACAUUCUGGUUGUCAUGACAUUAGAAUCUUAUCCAUCAUCAGUGUUACUGUCUUUAAUAGCAGGCCUGGCGGAAGAUACCGUUCAUUGCCUAUAAGGGGCAUUAUCCUGAGGAUGUUUCCUACUCUCUCCUUAGCCUUCAUGGACAUACUUUGGAUAAAUGUGAUGAGCCACCUAGGGAAGCAGGAGACAUUUAUUAGCUAGGGAGAGAGCCCUUUCCUGCAGGACAACUUAGCCGGCAGAGGGUCGACACCUAUGGACUUGAAAAAAAAU